CUCUGGGGCCCCGACGCUUUGCCUUCAACCAGCCGGUACUUUUAGUGGAGAAACUGAGACCCUACAGUGGAGGGAUCUUGGCGCAGAUUCACUCAGACCCCGAGGAGUCUUACUAUAUCGCUCCUGCUGUUCUCCACCUCCGGGGAUCAAACUGCCCACGUCAGCUUCCGGAAUCGAAGGGAAGAUAGAUGUGUGUGUGCUACCCACCUGGCAAGCCCUAAAGUUGAGAUGUGGAAACGUGGGUGCACUGAAUGUCUGUUCUACUAAAGAGUGUUGUUCUUCUGACCUUGGGAUGAAUCGCUUCCCUUCUUGGGCCUGUUUAUUCAAGUUAAUGUGAAAUAAUCCCCUUUAACAUUAGUUAUCUUUCCUACUUUUGUUGUAGGGUUGUUUGUUGCUUGGUUCUGAGAUAGGUUUCACCACCACACUCCAGCCUGCCUACUUUUGAAGUUUACUUUUCCUCCUGAGCACACAGACACUCACUCAGGUGUGGAGGUCAGAGGACAGCUUGCACGAGUUGGUUCUCUCUUCCCAUCAUGUGUGUCCUGUCCUGGGGAUUGGAAUGAGGAGGCUUGACAGCAAGUGCCUUCAUCUACUGAGCCAUCUUGCCAACCCUAAAGUAUACUUUAAAAAAUAUACUCAGGAGGCAGAGACAGGCAACUCUUUGAGUUUGAGGCCAGCCUCAUUUACACAGUGAGUGGGACAGAGCUACAGCUUGAGACUUUUAUUUAUUUAUUUAUUUAAAAUGAUUUUCGGGCUGGAGAGUU
ensembl:antisense Gm15417 predicted gene 15417